CUCCCUGGAACUCGUUUUUCUUGGGUCUGUUAUGCAGCACAUGUUUCCAUUUUCAUGCUAACUUCUUCCCCCACCCAGCCAUUUUCUGCUGAUAACAAACAGGAGUCUUCGGCGCCCGAAAGCCAGCCGUGUGCUGAAAGAGGACAAAGCCACCUAGAAAAGGCAGUUCUGGUCCCUAAUAUAAAUGGCCCAGGCAAGCUGCAGCCCAGCGCUGAGGUGAUGGAGGGGAUUUACGACCCCUCCCAGAAGGAAGAUGCAACAGAUGUUGUCUGCGGUCUGAUUGCUGAGCUCUCUAAUCUCAAUCGCCUGAUAAUGAGCGCGCACAGGGAUCUGGAGUCUUUAAAGAGGCUGAAGUACAGAAAAAGCAGAAGGUCAGGGAAGUUUCCUCCUCACCCCCCCAGGGGGGCACCGACCGGUUUGAACACUGGAAAAAAAUGGAAGGACAUGUAGGGCUGUGCAGGCAGCCAGAGCCAGGGAAUUAGUAACUGCUGGAUUUAACAGUUUAUUAAUGCAACAACAAAAUAAUGUUUCAACAGAAUAACCAAAAAAUGGCAAAUAAAAUAACUUCAUAUGUGUAACAUAUAAAAUAUAUUUCAAUUAAACCAAAAGAGUCUUUUAAGACGUGCACUUUUCUACAAGGAAAAGACAGUUCUGAACUACUCGCCCGCUCCACAUUUGCAGGUGAGUUAUUAACCCUUAUCACCCUCUCUCAAAGCCAAGUAGGAGAACAACUAGGUUUUAAGGGCUAUUAAACUGCUGUGAAAGCAUUCAGAAACGGCCAGAACUGGCCCGUCCUCGCAAGGACGGUUCUGUUGACAUUCAUUCAGUGGAGGAGAACAAGACACAACUGCCCGAUGACUGAGGCAUCAGCUCUGCAGGGCGCACCGUUCCUCCGCGCUUGCGAACGCCCUGCCAGUCUGGCUGCGCUUGCAAAAACUUUUGGCAAGCAAGCAGAUUUUAGUGGCAAACACACUUUUUAAAACCCGACCCAACCCACAACUUAGAACUGAUUUCUGAACCAAACAAGAAAUAAGCUCCCCAACAGGGUUUUGCUGCUAUAACUGCCCCUUCUCUAGGCUUUUUGCCGGCACUGUUGU